rnacentral:rRNA from 1 species
CGAUAGCGUAUAUUAACGUUGUUGCAGUUAAAAAGCUCGUAGUUGGAUUUCUGGAGGGAGCGUCGGCCCGUAUUUACGAGUGCGUGACGUCUCUGUCCAUCCUUGCGGGAAGGCACGGCAUUGAUUUGUUGUGUCGGAUCGCAUCAUUUACUGUGAAAAAAUUAGAGUGUUCAAAGCAGGCUUUCGCUUGAAUACAUUAGCAUGGAAUAAUAAGAUAGGACUUUGGUGCUAUUUUGUUGGUUGAGCCUAAAGUAAUGAUUAAUAGGGAUAGUUGGGGGCACCUGUAUUGCGUUGUCAGAGGUGAAAUUCUUGGAUUUACGCAAGACAAACAGCUGCGAANGNGUCUGCNAAGGAUGUUUNCAUUA